CUGCCUGAUAGUGGGGGAUAGCCCGAAGAAAUUCGGAUUAAUACCGCAUAAUCUAUUCGUAGUAAAGUGAGGGACUUUCGAGCCUCACGCUAUCAGAUGAGCCUGCGUAAGAUUAGCUUGUUGGUAGGGUAAAAGCCUACCAAGGCAACGAUCUUUAGCUGGUCUGAGAGGAUGAUCAGCCACAUCGGGACUGAGACACGGCCCGAACUCCUACGGGAGGCAGCAGUGGGGAAUAUUGGACAAUGGGGGCAACCCUGAUCCAGCAAUACCGCGUGUGUGAAGAAGGCCUGAGGGUUGUAAAGCACUUUCAAUUGUGAAGAAAAGUUAACGGUUAAUAACCGUUAACCUUGACGUUAACUUUAGAAGAAGCACCGGCUAACUCCGUGCCAGCAGCCGCGGUAAUACGGAGGGUGCAAGCGUUAAUCGGAAUUACUGGGCGUAAAGCGUGCGUAGGCGGUUUAUUAAGUCAGAUGUGAAAGCCCCGGGCUUAACCUGGGAACUGCAUUUGAAACUGGUCAACUAGAGUAUGGUAGAGGAAAGUGGAAUUUCUGGUGUAGCGGUGAAAUGCGUAGAUAUCAGAAGGAACAUCAAUGGCGAAGGCAGCUUUCUGGACCCAAUACUGACGCUGAGGUACGAAAGCGUGGGGUAGCAAACAGGAUUAGAUACCCUGGUAGUCCAC
rnacentral:rRNA from 1 species